CGUAAGAGAGAGAAAAUCUCAAAUGAAAUUCAGGUUCUGUGAUCACCCUGCAGGUGAACUGAUUUAUGCAUUUGUCUACACAUUUUGUUUGUGUUUGUACAUAGGUUACAAUGGUAGCAGAUAUUGGUGGUUCUUCACUGGAUGAUGCUACCAGGAGGAUGAUGAGAUUCCUAAUUUCAAAUGAAUUGGCGAUCCAGUACAACCUCUUUGGCUGUCUGGCAAGAAAAGGUUUCGAGGUGUACUGAAGAAGAAUGCGAUGACCAAAAGCGUGAACCAGAAAGACAGAGAAAAGAAGCCUUUAAAGAGGAACCCAGAGAAGGAUCAAAAGUGGAGGAGACCAGAUCAAGAUCGGCAGUCAGUCCAAAGGUUCUUUCACUAAUUAACAAGAUUUCAGACUAUGAAUGGAUUGAGAAAAACUGAGUGUCAGAUCUUCCAACAUUUCCUAUCAGAGAUUCUUGGCAGCGUC